GACGAACGCUGGCGGCGUGCCUAAUACAUGCAAGUCGAGCGGAUCACUGGGAGCUUGCUCCCGGUAGUCAGCGGCGGACGGGUGAGUAACACGUGGGCGACCUGCCUGUAAGACUGGGAUAACACCGGGAAACCGGUGCUAAUACCGGAUAAUCCUUUUCCUCUCACGAGGAAAAGCUGAAAGUCGGUUUCGGCUGACACUUACAGACGGGCCCGCGGCGCAUUAUCUAGUUGGUGAGGUAACGGCUCACCAAGGCGACGAUGCGUAGCCGACCUGAGAGGGUGAUCGGCCACACUGGGACUGAGUCACGGCCCAGACUCCUACGGGAGGCAGCAGUAGGGAAUCUUCCACAAUGGACGAAAGUCUGAUGGAGCAACGCCGCGUGAGCGAUGAAGGCCUUCGGGUCGUAAAGCUCUGUUGUUAGGGAAGAACAAGUACCGGAAUAACUGCCGGUACCUUGACGGUACCUAACCAGAAAGCCACGGCUAACUACGUGCCAGCCGCCGCAGUAAAAC
rnacentral:rRNA from 1 species